AUAUUACUCCCUCCAUCCGGAAUUACUUGUCGCACAAAUGGAUGGAAAUGGAUGUAUCUAAAACUUAAAUACAUCUAGAUACAUCCAUUCCUAUUCCUAUGACAAGUAUUUUCGGACGGAGGGAGUAGUUC
rfam:Hordeum vulgare subsp. vulgare, WGS project CAJW01000000 data, contig: morex_contig_7062